rnacentral:rRNA from 1 species
UACAGAGGUCUCAAGCGUUUGUUCGGAUUCAUUGGGCGUAAAGGGUGCGUAGGUGGCGCCGUAAGUCAGGUGUGAAAUUUCGGAGCUUAACUCCGAAACUGCAUUUGAUACUGCGGUGCUUGAGGACUAGAGAGGAGACUGGAAUUUACGGUGUAGCAGUGAAAUGCGUAGAGAUCGUAAGGAAGACCAGUGGCGAAGGCGGGUCUCUGGACAGUUCC